rnacentral:rRNA from 1 species
GACGAACGCUGGCGGCGUGCCUAAUACAUGCAAGUCGAACGCACAGUUUAUACCGUAGCUUGCUACACCAUAAACUGUGAGUUGCGAACGGCUGAGUAACGCGUAGCUAACCUGCCUGGUAGCGGGGGGUAACUAUGGGAAACGAUAGCUAAUACCUCAUGAUAUUGAUUAUUGCAUGAUAAUUGAUUGAAAGAUGCUAUUGCAUCACUACCAGAUGGACCUGCGUUGUAUUAGCUAGUAGGUGAGGUAACGGCUCACCUAGGCGAAGAUACAUAGCCGAACUGAGAGGGUGGUCGGCCACCCUGGGACUGAGACCCGGCCCAGACUCCUUCGGGGAGCAGCCAGAGGGAAUCUUCGGCAAGGGACGGAAAUCUGACCGAACAACGCCGCGGUAGUGAAGAAGGUUGUCGGAUCCUAAAGCUCUGUUGUAAGGGAAGAACGGGUGUGAGAGUGGAAAGUACACACUGUGACGGUAUCUUACCAGAAAGCGACGGCUAACUACGUG